GUGCCAGCAGCCGCGGUAAUACGUAGCGCCGCAAGCGUUGAUCCGGAAUUAUUGGAGGCGUAAAGAGCUCGUAGGUGGCUUGUCACGUCUGCCGUGAAAACCCGAGGCUCAACCUCGGGCGUGCGGUGGGUACGGGCAGGCUAGAGUGUGGUAGGGGAGACUGGAACUCCUGGUGUAGCGGUGAAAUGCGCAGAUAUCAGGAAGAACACCGAUGGCGAAGGCAGGUCUCUGGGCCAUUACUGACACUGAGGAGCGAAAGCAUGGGUAGCGAACAGGAUUAGAUACCCUGGUAGUCC
rnacentral:rRNA from 1 species